rnacentral:rRNA from 1 species
GAUGAACGCUGGCGGCGUGCCUAAUACAUGCAAGUCGAGCGAACGGACGAGAAGAUUGCUUCUCUGAUGUUAGCGGCGGACGGGUGAGUAACACGUGGAUAACCUACCUAUAAGACUGGGAUAACUUCGGGAAACCGGAGCUAAUACCGGAUAAUAUUUUGAACCGCAUGGUUCAAAAGUGAAAGACGGUCUUGCUGUCACUUAUAGAUGGAUCCGCGCUGCAUUAGCUAGUUGGUAAGGUAACGGCUUACCAAGGCAACGAUGCAUAGCCGACCUGAGAGGGUGAUCGGCCAAACUGGAACUGAGACACGGUACAGACUACUACGGGAGGCAGCAGUAGGGAAUCUUCAGCAAUGGGCGAAAGCCUGACGGAGCAACGCCGCGUGAGUGAUGAAGGUCUUCGGAUCGUAAAACUCUGUUAUUAGGGAAGAACAUAUGUGUAAGUAACUGUGCACAUCUUGACGGUACCUAAUCAGAAAGCCACGGCUAACUACGUG